CAGACUAAAAAGAGAGGGAAAAGAACACUCAGGAGGGAGUGCAACAGCAACCGUGAAGAGGCCCUUUCUCAACCCGCUCUUGGAGAAUAAAAGGCUUUAGGAGGAAACUCUCAAGGAAGCGGUAUAUUUUUCCCAGUGUCUCUCCUGCGACUCCACACCAGAGAGACCACUGGCUAUAAGACUGCAUUGCAAAUGAAUCUUAUGUGGGUGCUCCAUGCCUAUGAGUCAAUGCUGACGUCUACCAGACCCAAG